CACUCUCUGUAAAACAUAGAGAGCCGAACCUGCCCAGUGAUCAGUGACAUGAUUUAACGGCCGCGGUACUCUAACCGUGCAAAGGUAGCAUAAUCAUUUGCUCUAUAAUUGAGGGCUUGUAUGAAUGGUUUGACAAGAACAAUACUGUCUCUUAAAAAUUUACUAAAAUUUGGUUUUUAGGUGAAGAAACCUAAAUAAAAUUGAAAGACAAGAAGACCCUAUCGAGCUUAAAAAAUACGUUAACUAUAUAGAAAAACUAAAACUAACGAAAAAAUUUGGUUGGGGCGACUGAGGAACAAAAAAAGCUUCCUUUUAUAUAAAAAACUUAUAUGUAUUGAUCCAAAAUAUUUGAUUAAAAAAAUUAGUUACCGUAGGGAUAACAGCAUAAUCUUUUUAGAGAGAACAUAUCGAAAAAAAGGUUUGUGACCUCGAUGUUGGACUAGGAUAUCCUAAUAGAUUGCAGAAGUCUUUAAAGGUUAGUCUGUUCGACUAAUAAAAUCCU
rnacentral:rRNA from 1 species